CCUACGGGGGGCUGCAGUGGGGAAUCUUGCGCAAUGGGCGAAAGCCUGACGCAGCGACGCCGCGUGUGGGAUGACGGCCUUCGGGUUGUAAACCACUUUCUGGAGGGACGAAGUUCUGACGGUACCUCCAAAGGAAGCACCGGCUACCUCUUUGCCAGCAGCCGCGGUAAUACAGAGGGUGCAAGCGUUGUCCGGAAUCACUGGGCGUAAAGGGCGCGUAGGCGGCCUGGUAAGUCGGAGGUGAAACGCUGAGGCUCAACCGCAGCACUGCCUUCGAGACUGCCUGGCUUGAGCACGGUAGAGGCUGGUGGAAUUCCAGGGGUAGCGGUGGAAUGCGUAGAGAUCGGGAAGAACAUCGGUGGCGAAGGCGGCCAGCUGGGCCGUGGCUGACGCUGAGGCGCGACAGCGUGGGGAGCAAACAGGAUUAGAUACCCCAGUAGUC
rnacentral:rRNA from 1 species